UUCAUAUGACGAACCCUGGUAUUCAUCAAGCGGUACACCUGUGUUUCUUUACUUCUUUGAGGAGAGUGAUGUGAAUGAAACAAAUUGCAUGCUGUACUUGAAUGAUGGGAACUGUGACCCAUUG
rnacentral:ribozyme from 1 species